AUUGAACGCUGGCGGCAUGCCUUACACAUGCAAGUCGAACGGCAGCAUGAUCUAGCUUGCUAGAUUGAUGGCGAGUGGCGAACGGGUGAGUAAUACAUCGGAACGUGCCCUGUAGUGGGGGAUAACUAGUCGAAAGAUUAGCUAAUACCGCAUACGACCUGAGGGUGAAAGUGGGGGACCGCAAGGCCUCAUGCUAUAGGAGCGGCCGAUGUCUGAUUAGCUAGUUGGUGAGGUAAAGGCUCACCAAGGCGACGAUCAGUAGCUGGUCUGAGAGGACGAUCAGCCACACUGGGACUGAGACACGGCCCAGACUCCUACGGGAGGCAGCAGUGGGGAAUUUUGGACAAUGGGCGAAAGCCUGAUCCAGCAAUGCCGCGUGUGUGAAGAAGGCCUGCGGGUUGUAAAGCACUUUUGUCCGGAAAGAAAUGGCUCUGGUUAAGACCUGGGGUCGAUGACGGUACCGGAAGAAUAAGGACCGGCUAACUACGU
rnacentral:rRNA from 1 species